GGCCUAACACAUGCAAGUCGAGCGGAUGAGAAGAGCUUGCUCUUCGAUUCAGCGGCGGACGGGUGAGUAAUGCCUAGGAAUCUGCCUGGUAGUGGGGGACAACGUUUCGAAAGGAACGCUAAUACCGCAUACGUCCUACGGGAGAAAGCAGGGGACCUUCGGGCCUUGCGCUAUCAGAUGAGCCUAGGUCGGAUUAGCUAGUUGGUGAGGUAAUGGCUCACCAAGGCGACGAUCCGUAACUGGUCUGAGAGGAUGAUCAGUCACACUGGAACUGAGACACGGUCCAGACUCCUACGGGAGGCAGCAGUGGGGAAUAUUGGACAAUGGGCGAAAGCCUGAUCCAGCCAUGCCGCGUGUGUGAAGAAGGUCUUCGGAUUGUAAAGCACUUUAAGUUGGGAGGAAGGGCAUUAACCUAAUACGUUAGUGUUUUGACGUUACCGACAGAAUAAGCACCGGCUAACUCUGUGCCAGCAGCCGCGGUAAUACAGAGGGUGCAAGCGUUAAUCGGAAUUACUGGGCGUAAAGCGCGCGUAGGUGGUUUGUUAAGUUGAAUGUGAAAGCCCCGGGCUCAACCUGGGAACUGCAUCCAAAACUGGCAAGCUAGAGUACGGUAGAGGGUGGUGGAAUUUCCUGUGUAGCGGUGAAAUGCGUAGAUAUAGGAAGGAACACCAGUGGCGAAGGCGACCACCUGGACUGAUACUGACACUGAGGUGCGAAAGCGUGGGGAGCA
rnacentral:rRNA from 1 species